UACGUAGGGGGCAAGCGUUGUCCGGAUUUAUUGGGCGUAAAGAGCGUGUAGGCGGCCUGAAAGGUCAGCUGUGAAAACUCGAGGCUCAACCUCGAGACGUCGGUUGAAACCAUCUGGCUAGAGUCCGGAAGAGGAGAGUGGAAUUCCCGGUGUAGCGGUGAAAUGCGCAGAUAUCGGGAAGAACACCCGUGGCGAAGGCGGCUCUCUGGGACGGUACUGACGCUGAGACGCGAAGGCGUGGGGAGCGAACAGG
rnacentral:rRNA from 1 species